CUUGAUGUAUUGUUGUAUUUUGAGGCACAGAACCAAAAUAGUGCAAAUCUGUUUUCUGAUUUCACUGGGCUUGGCACUGGUGCCUGGAUAUUUACAUCUUAAUUUCUUCCACUCAGAUGUGGGAUUUAGUUUGAGUGUUUGUGAAAGCUACCCAUCUGACAGUCCUGCAGACGAAAGCCUUCCAAUUAUUCACCUGUUAAGUACAAAGUUCAAGUUUCCCUUCCAAUUAAAGUACCUCUACCCGUGCUGGCCAGACCACCUCGAGGGAGGAAUCAUUUAGAUUCCAACCACACGCUUUCCCCUGCCUCGCUUUUGCGAAUGCCAGCAAGAAGCCAAUUCAUGCCAGCUGUUGCAUAUUUCUAAUGGGCACACUUGUCUAUAGGGAAUAAAGUGAUCGGAUAACUUCUAGAAGAUAACAAUUUCAGGUUACUACCAGUCGGGGCUGGACUCGAACUGAUACCCCAAAAGGAAAUUACUCUCUCCCACUACCAGUCCAGAUACGCUUUGGAGUUGCUGUGGGGCUCCGAGAAGUAUCUUAAUGGAAAUGGAUCUAUUUUUAAAAUAUAUCCGUUAACAAUUAAGUGGAUUAUCCAAAUUUCAGGCUGUAUUAACUGCACUGAGAUGUGGUUUAUACUUAAUAGGUAAGGAAAGUAGCUCAUAUUAUAAAUGCAGUACAUGUAUAUUAUACCUGGUGCACGUUUAUCGAAACAGUGUCAGGUUUUGAAACAGCUUACAUUAACUCUGCAUCUGUGCUGUGAAUCCAGAAAGAAGUUGAGGUUUGCUCAGCUAAAUCCUUUUUCAUGGUGUUGGCAGCUGAGAGGGAGUUUGUCACUGAUAUGCUUACUUUUUCCCCCCUGUUUCAUAUUUCUGGAAAGGACAUAAAUGAGAAUAGAUUGAUUCUAAAGUAACAGAAGGAGCGACGCAGAGACAAUAAUGAUGAGCAUGUUCCAGUUGGAUGCAUUAUGGGAGAAGUCCAAAACCUCCAGGUUCUCAUUUUCCCACAAGACAGCCAAUUCUGACACUUUAAUAUAUAGGCAUGGAUGUGUCAGAGGGGGAGCAAGGAGGCAUUUUGUUCCUAUCUGUUGUUGCAGCUCGAUGGCUUUGGUACCACACACACUACUGGCACCGUGCUGUAGCAGCUGAAGGAAGAGCCUCGCUGUUUUGGGGAGAAGGUAAAGAGGGAUCUGGUGUAUUCCCCAGAAGUUGUGUUGAGCCUCCCAUCUGUGCUGGUGCCACUGGUUUGGGAUGGAAAGGAGCUUCGGUAGGACUUCAGCAUGCUGUAUGUGGCACACUUGGUCCUUGGCGUGUGACCCACAGAGGGGGCUGAGCCUCACCAUUUUUGUUACAGGGGCAUACGUUUCUGAAUUAGGCUAUUGAUUUCUCUAGUGGUUUCUACUACUUUGAGUGCCCCGAAAAGCCACUAUAAACUUUUUUGCUGGUAGAGAAAGUAUGAGUGCAGCUAGCGUGGGCUUUGGAAAAAGGUAGCAAAGGCAACUGGGGCAAAUGCUCUCAGGGGCAAUGGGGAUGCAUGUGCUAUGUAGCUGAAGCCUUGGCAACAGCUGGCAAUUGCUGCCAAUGGCGUCAUAUAUAUAUUGACUCAUCUGCAAGUUCAGUCCAGACGGCCACGUGGAACAAGAGACCUUAUCCUAUUGAAUCUGAACCGUGAGCCUGGAAAAGAACUCACGGUCGAUGAGACAGAAAAGCAAAAUGCCUAUAUGCCUUUCCCUGCUUCAGUCUCCUACCUUCCUCAGCUGUUUGGGGUGGGUUUUAUUUACUUCUUGUGGUGUGUUUUGAAAGGACUGGUCAAAAUCCUCCAAUUUUUACUUUGGUGGUUUUUUUUUCUUCCACAUCUUGUUCCUUUUCUGUCAUUUCUCCUGUCUAAAAUAACCAGCCUUAAGCCCUUGAAAAAAUAAAUUCCAGCUCCUCUUGACAAACAACCCCCUGUUCUGCUUUGCCAGGUGACUGAUUGAUUAGUUACCGGUACCCUUGGCCAGGCUGACUCUUCUGCAGAGCUGCCAGUUACUUCAUCCAGUGGUGCUUCCACGUGAAUGAGUGAUCACCAGGGACUCGCAGCCUUCUCCUGCUAGCCCUGUAUCACUUUCUACUUCUACAUAGAUGAAGAUACCCAGAUAGACAAAACCUUCAAUCAAUUUACUGUUUGGAGUCUGACACACACAGCGAGAGUCUGCAGUAUUAAAGAGAACUCACAAGAGUUGAAACAGAUCAUUACAGGACUAGUUAUUUGCACUUGGCUAGCACAUACUAAGUUGUUCUUAUAUGCAAGUGUCUCAGCUGGAAUCCAUCUAUUUUCUUCUCAUGUUAAGGCCUCUGGGUUUAUUAUAGUGGUAUUUUAGCCUACUAGUAGACUGAAAGCAGUAUGAGACAUAUUCAUCACAUGCAGGAGGGAAAUUCUGUACAUUGUAAGGAUGAUGCCAGCUUUUUUCUUCCUAGCAGGCAGGAAGCACUAGACUAACCAAUUCCCUGGUCUGCAGUGAUUUUCUGAGAAUUUUGAAUUUUAAGCUUCAAACUUUAGACUAACAGCUCAGGUCAAAAAACUGACUAAUUCCCAGCUGUAUCCCAAGACUGGUCUUUGAUAUGUGGGAGGGAAAUUUUCACUGUGGAAAUCUUUUUUUCUCUGUUUUGUUAGGUAGUUGCACUAUGGGCUAGACAGAGAAGAAACAGGGUCUUUUGCUCCUUGCCCUUUCCUGGGAGGUGCAUUGGGAAGUUCAGGCAACUAUUUAAAUCAAGUGAAUUUUGCUUGAAAGCCUAGUCCCAGAUGAGUUGUUCCCACACAAGAAGGGAAACGAGACAAGAAAUAAAAAGAACCUGGCUUUGAAGAAUUUCUAGUCCCUACCCUGCUUCCGUAGAGUUUGCCAGGAGGGCAACAUACAAGAUGAAGCCUAGACAAGAACUCAGCUAUAUCUUGCCCCAGGGACUGUACCUCUGAGCGGUGCUUUGACACUCUUUCCAUUUAGCUUUCCUUUUUUAACCUGGAAGAACCCUACAGAUCAAGGCAAAUAUCUUAGAUGGAGAAACAGACCAAUCUGUAGCAUGCAGAUCCACAGGAAAUAGCCCAGAAAACGUUAUGAGGUUAUGUUAAGAUAUUUGCAGCUAGACUAGACAACCUGUUAAUAGACUAGGGGGGUGUUGUUUGGGGCAGGCAUUUCCAAACAUGCUUAGAAGAUUGAGAAGCUUUGGGUGGUCAUCCUAAAUCAUUUCAUGGACUAUUACAUUCCGUUGACCAGUUUAGCAUUUCUGGCUUCUGUCACAGUGCCAUUUAUAUCCACCUACAUCCACCAUGACCCUCAAAGCAGGUGGCAACUCACUAAAAAAAAUCAGCAGGCAGUAUGGGACCCUUUGGUUUAUGAUUUAUACAUUUCCAGCUCAGCUUCUAAUUUUGCAAAAGAAGGCUUCUCGGCAUGCAUCUGUAAGAGAUUAUUCGUGUAUGCCUCUCAAAAAUAACUGUUCAUAGUUUUCCUUGUUUGUCAGGAAUUCUUCUUUUAUUCUCAGCAAGGAGCCUCCUGUUACGUGGAUGAUGUGCAGAUGGUCAUUCUUUCACCUUUAGAUCUUGUGGUGGACAGAUUUGGGUUACAACAGAGAAACCUAAUGGAAAGUGAAAGCUGCGCAGAGUCAUUAGAAAAGCCAGCUUAAAUCUUGAUUCCUGCCAGACAUAUGCAACUGAAGGUCAGGUACUGCAAUUUUUAAUUUUACAACUAUAAACACUGAGUUUGGAAAAGGAUAACUCAUUUAUUUUUUCUUUUGUUAAAGCAUGGGUACAUAUAUUCAUGACACUAAACCACUUGCAUUAUUAAAGCAUUUGAAUGAACUUGAAUAAAUUGCUAACCUGAAAAGGCUAUAAUUAUUUUUGCCCAGGCAUGAAUAAAUAACUUUUUUGCAGGAUCUGUAAGCUUAGAUGGUCCAUUUGCCCUUGUGUACUUGUAAACUCAUAUACCAGUUGAGUCACCUGGAUCAAAGCCAUGUUUUAAUACGACAUAGAAGAAACAAAGUAUAUUUGCUGUCAGCUUUCUCGACAGGAACUACAAAAAUAAUCAUAAUGGAUUUUACUUCUUUGAAAAAAAAAAAAAGCUGACCCUUCAUUUGCUUGGACAUACCAAAAUGGUUGUUAACCAUCUUCAGUGACCUUUCUCUUAGCUGACAGUUGGUUUGUGACAGAUGAAGCUGAGUAAUCAGCCGACUGUGGUAAAAACCAAAGCCAUGUACCUGAGGCAGUCUGGUUUUGAACUAUCAUUUGUGAUACAUGUGGAUUUGUUAUGAAAGCUUCAGCAUUCUGAAUAGUUUUGUCUUUCUGUCUAGACAUUGAAAAAUUGUUCAAGCUUGUUUCUUCACAGGAAAUGUAUAUUUAAUUUUUUAAUUUACAGAGCUGGAUUUAAUAGCAUUCUUGUUUCCUAUUUUCGUAUAAACUUUUCUUUUCCCUGGUAGCUUUGGGAAUUCCAAAUAUCUCCAGUGUUAAACAUUUCCCUUAGAAUGAGUAGUAGCAGACUAACAUUUGAAGGAACUGACACUAAAAAAGUCUGACUUUCAUCUGAGAUGGUGUCUUUGUUGCUGAAACAGAGAGAGACAAGAAACAUCAGUUGAAACAUGGGAAAUUAUGGUUAGAUGCUAGGAACAAAAAAUCCACAGUGAGGGUGAUCAAACACUGGAACAGCUGGUCCAGAGAUGUUACAUGAUCUCCACCCUUGGAGAUAUUCAAAACUCAACAGCACAUGGCCCUGAGUAUGUUGAUGUAAGUUGUCCCUGCUUUUGGAGCAGUAGCAGGAGCUGAACUAGGUGACCUCUAGAAGUCCCUUCCAACUUGAGUUAUUCUAUAAUUCAGAGCCUGCCACAUGAAAGAUGACAGCAAAGUAUUGUCUACAAUCAUUGUUGGUUCUCAGAUUUUAGAUUCAAGAUACAAUUAUUUUUGCUGGGAUAUAGAUUGUCUUGAAUUCUAUAGCAAAAAGAUUCUGAAUAUUCAUGCCACCACUUCUAUGUCACAGACCUACAACCAUGUGUUCCUUGCAAAACUGUUCUUCAUUGAGCGGGUUCUUUUUCUAGCAGGAACAAUCCUGACUAAGUUUGUGAGUUUUGUCUUGGUGGAAUAUUAGGAUUAGAUUGUGUCUGCAAACAGAACAGAGAGGUGAAAUAUUCUCCCUUAAGUUUCUUCUGAAUGCUUAAUCGGAAGUAUAUUUCAUAUAAAAUGUAUAUAUAUAUAAUGUAUGAAAUUGAAUUACUGUUAGUUACUGUUAACUAAUUUGAAAAUUAGGGGGGCUAUGGAAAUUAAAGCAAUGGUAACGGGUGACUGUUCAUGCCUUCCUGUGACACACAGUGAAAGAAUCGAAAGUGGUCUGGGGGAGUUCAGAUGUGCUUACCAUAUUAUGCAACUGGUGGGUGAUGCCUACUGCAGGCAAUAGUGAAAAUGCCUCAGCAAUUGAACAAGCAAGCAUAGAUAAAAACCUCAUUUGAAGCAUACAUUCUUUUAUUUUCAUUUUUUUUCCUUCUCUGCUGUCUUUUAAAGUUGUUGUGCUCAGCAUGUUGGAAACAUUCAAUUUGGUUUUACCUUACUUGGCUAAGGAAAUCAUUAAGGAUGGUACGGGAUGGAGGAAUGAGAAACAUACCCGUCGAUAUUUAGCUGCUCUCCCAGUUUUACCUGGUUAACAAAGUUCCCUUUAGAACAGGCAGAAUGAAGAAAAAGCAUGAACUCUGUGUGACUGUAUUGGCAAAGAGUUGUUUUUGCUAUAAUCUGCCUUCCUUUCCGACCAUACAUUCUAUUAAGCAAAAAGUUAUAGAUAAGACAGUAACUGGAGGCCUCCUCAUCCAUGGUUUAAUGGUACUAAAGAUAAAGACUUCCCACCUUCCCACACAUUGUUUAAAAGAAGACACAGACUUGCGGGAGCUUCUGAGAAAAGAAGAAAAUAAAAGAAUUUCAUAUUCUGGGCAGCAGCACCACACAUAUUGUUACCAGUUUAACCAGUUUCAGGAAUGCCUACAGAGAAUGGAUUAGUAGACCAAAUAUACAUGAUAACUAAUGACUGCAAUCAUUCUUUCAUGAGGGUCAGCACUAUCACAGACAAAUGAAAGAGAACUAGUCCUAAUGCAUGGAAAUCCUCCACAGCAAGAAGAAAUCCAGCUUGCUAGGACUGUCGUAUUUCCAAUAGGCAAAAGUGGUGGAGUGGAAAGGUCAGGACAUGGUAGUUCUGUGCAGUGGCAAGCUAUGACUCUUGUCUCCCAUUUACACUUGCUGAGAUCUUUCCCAUUCAGGGAUGAGAUGCAGGAGCCUGUUAUAGCAAAGACACUUGUCCUGACCUUAUCCAUACAGCAUAACAUGGAAGAAAAAGAGAAUUUUAGGCAGCCUGGAUCAUCAGAAAACCGUGCCUUUCCUGGGGGUAAGUCAAUAAUCUGUGAGUUACCCCUCCAUCCAGAUUUGACUGUUAGUGAGAAAGAGAUGACGUGGCAGAAUAACAUUUUCUACACUACUUAUCACAUAAAUCAAAUUCUGUCCAGUGCUUAUCUAAACCAAUGACUAACAUUGGCCAUCACAAAAAUCAGUUGAUUGGAGAAGAGUAGCAUUGUACUACGCCUUAUUGUCUCCAACUUCUUGCCUUCCUCCUUUCUUUUCUAACCCAACACUGCUACUUCUCAGCUCUUUCCCAUGGUGCAAACAAAGAGUAGGAUUUGUUUGUUAGCUCAGACUUGCACUUUUUUCAUCUGACUUGUGCCUUAGCAGUGAGAUCUGUCACAGUGGUUGGGAAGGACCAAACUAAUGAAAAAUUCAAAAAUAAGGACAUAGGUAUUAUAAUUUGUCUUGGAUAGCUGUAGUUCUUCCACCAGGUGAGUGUGCUGCAAUCCCAUUGAAAGCAUGUAAAGAUGAUGCAGCAUAAAGAUGAUUUGCUCCUACAUACCUGAGAACUUCCAAGUCUUCUCUGGUCAUCUUCUGAUCUUUUUGAAUCCACCUGGAAGGUGCUGGAAAGGUUGGAAGAUGCUGAAGAUCAGGACUUGGCCAUUUCCACUCAUAUUUCUUCUUAGCAAUGGAAAGACUGUGCAAAAGUAUCACUGUGAAGUGAUGAUGCAAAAUGAGGCACAGAGCAAGUAUCCCACAUAUCACAACAGUGCCAGUAUAUAACCCAUUACUAGUCUACUUUGGAAACAACUCCUGAUUUUUUCCUAUUGUAGACUUAACAGAGUUCCUAAUUUAAGAAAUUUGACUUAAAUUAUGCUGGUAAUAGAAGCUAUUUCAUUUAGGGACAAAAUCAAGAGAUGAGCUAGCAGGCUCCUGCAGCUCCUGGGCUAACAUCUCUGGUUCUGUCUGCAGUUUUGAUAGCAAGCUAAAAUACUGACUGCAGUGGGUCUGUGAACCUUGUUAUUCAAAAGUGAAUAUGAAUACAUUUUCCAGUUUUGUUACUUUUUAGUUUUUUAAAAUUUUGUAUAUGUUCAAGGUUAAGUUUACUUUAUACUGUUUAGUACUAGCAAUAGUUUACUGUUUGUAAUUUAUAAAAAAAUGCAAUUCCUUGUUUAUUUUUUCUGACUCUCAUCUAUCUUCUGGCUGAGCUCCUGUGUUUCUUGCUUUUCAUUAUAUGACUCAGUCUUCCAAAGGCAAUUGUUCCACUAGGAAGAUAAGGUGAAAAGGCAACUGAAAUAAUACAAUGUGUCAUCAAAAUAAAAUGGGGUGCAAUUUUAGUUUAUUGUUACUGAGGGAAUUCCAUUUCAGUAUCUUUCCCUCUGUGCCCAAAAGUAAGAUAAACUAGUGAGCACUGAUACUUCUAGUGAGAAAUUUUCAGUUAUAUAACAUACUGCCAUAUAAGUGUUGUAUAUUCAAGACAAAAGCAAAAUUUACUCCCUAUAGACAAAAGACCAUUAGCCUUAAAACUUUCAUUACUUUUAGAUUCAUGAUAUCCUGAAGAUAAAAACUUGUAUUCUUUUCCAAGAAAAAAAGCCUUGAGUCUCUAGCAAAAGAUGCACAGCUUCCUCACAGUGUUGAAAUUUAAAAAAUUGCCUCAAGGCUUUACUAUGCUUUCAGUGCCGCUAUGUAGCACUCAGUAUAUUUCUGAAAGCUUUGUAAUGGUCAAUUAACUUGGUUGAUAAACUUAGAAAAUACCAGCUUUUUGUGGAAGUGGCACUCAGUAGUAGCUACUCCCAUUACUACAGCUCUAUUCUGCACACCUGCCCGAGACCACAAUCAGGGUUUGAGGGUCUGUUCCUUUGGACUGUGAAGUUACAGGGCAGGUUAGCAGUCUUUCUGCCAAGAACUUAAUACCUGAGCUGAGAUAAGCUGAAUUAGUAAGUGUAAGAAGUCAUAGGAAACAGAAGAAGAGCAUGAGGCAAACUAAGGUGAUUUCUUCUAUCAAAUCUUUGACAAUUUCUUAGACUUUCCACAAAAUGUCUACAAAGCCAAAAGAUAACAGCAAAUUAAUUGGACCCAAGUCCAGAAAGUGUACUGUGCUUUCUGCAAUGAGAAACGUUUUCAAGACUUAGUAAUGGCUCCCCAGUUUCCUGGAGUCAAGCAGCAACAAUUCCUCACUUUCUUUUUUUUUUUUUUUUAACUGAUUGUUGUUUAAACUGGGAGUUUUAUAGAAACACAAACUGAUGGAAAAACAUAAUUUCAUGAAACACUACUCACUGGAUGGAGAGCUGGAUCUUAAAAGACUUAACAGAUGUUGCAUCAGAUGAGAAGGAAGAGAAAGAACUGUUGUCUAAGCAAAAUAAUCAAAAGGCAAAAUAAAAAUUAUGUAGCUAUCAAAGAAAAAAUACUUUAUUGUUCAUUAUUUUCACAGAGGCCAUUCCAGUCAAUCAUCAUAAAGCUUUUUCAGUACUGAAUGCUAUGUUGGCAGGUUAAAGCACUGCAAACCCUGGAUAAAUCCCUAUGCAGGACUAACUUCCAUGCUCACUACGCACUUAAGUGUCAUGACAGAGAUAAGAGCCCAGCCGAUCCCUCCCUGACCAUGGGCCCAGUUCUGUUGCAUUCAGAUCAGUAUAAAUUUGGAAUAGUUCAGUUGAAGGUAAAGAAGUUAUUUUAAAUUGAUACCAACGUAAUUCAGAGCAAGCCCUGAUUCAUAAUGGGCAGGUCAGAUAAUGUCAUGUAUUGAAUACAGACAUAAAUGCAGGGCUUCACUGAGCAGUGAAUAAAAAUGAAUAUUUAAUAGAUUGGUUAACUAACAAUUAAUUAGAUUUGUUUAAUGUUCUAUCCGUUGAUAAAUAACAUUUGCCUUGACAGCAACUGUACUGCUUGCCGUCUUGCUCUGUGCUGCUGUGAUAAUUAUUAUUUCAAAGCAAAGGUCAGUCUCUGUCCCUCAUUCAAGAGAUACCGUCCACCAUUUGGAUUGUAGAUUUUUAUCUAAAGUGUACCGAAGUCCAUUGGAAAAACUCCUGUGGCGUUCAGUGGGCUUUAGAUCAGUUUCUGAACAGGUCAGGGUUCUUGUGGAAAAUAAUAGUGUGAGACCUUGUAAUUAUGUCUGAAUAUAUAAUGCCUGUGCAUAGGGGGUAUAUUUGAAGGAAUCACAAAAUCUCAGAGUGGCUCAAGUUGGAAGAGACCUCUGGAGAUCAACUAGUCCAACCCUCCUGCUCAGAGUUGGGUCAAUUAGAGCAUGUUUCCCUAGGGCCAUGCUGGAACAUAACUCUAACUUUAUUUCUUUAGUUUUAAAUGACUGACUUUCCCAAUUUAAUGUUCUCUUACAUAAAACUCUGUACUGCAUUUUAGUCUGUAAUUAUGGGAUCAUUUGCCAAUCUUUUGUGGCCUCUUACCAAGAGAGUGGAAUCCUGUUGUGCAUUUUACAUUUAGUAUUAUAAUUUUUUUUUUCACUGAACAGGGCUUCAGGAUUUGGAGUUUUAAUGCAAUCUUGGAAAUUAUUGUAAUGUGCUAAACUAAUUUUGACCUUUUUAAGGUUCUAUAUUUUGAUUGCAAAGCACUCCACUUCUUUAACAUGAUUCAGUGAGACUGCAAUCAAUGGAUAAAAGAAUUAAACAGAACUAAUGUAAAAUGGAUAUCUUUUGGAAGGGUAGGUAGAUACCUUCAAAAAUUGUCAACAGACCUACUGGAAACGUAGCACUCUGAGCCACCUUGCUGUCAGACAUCACCGUUGAGCCUCAGCGAAUGUGGGACACUAAAUACUCAUGUAGGUUUCUAUACAGAUAAAGCUCAAUUCUUGUCCCACCAAUUUUAAUGGAGUUGUUCCCACAAAUUGUUUUGUCCUUAAGCAUUUGCAGAACUGCUCCACUGAAUCUUUUCACCAUCUUCCUGGAUGUUUAUUAGUUGACAUCCUUCAACAUCCAUGUUCUUGUGAAUCUGCUUAUUUUUUUAGGGAGCUAUAUGGCAAUUAGCUGAGAAUAAAACCAAUUAUACACAAUUGAUUGAUGUUGCCUGCAUGUACCUGAUACUGAUUGUCGAUGAGAGUUACAUUUUAAUUAAAAUUACAGCUUUUCUUAUUAUAUAUUACUAGUUGAAUCUGAAUUAGAGUAGCCUUCAUGCUGUUACUUCUUCUGGCCACUGCAAAGCCAGAAAUACAGGAAGCAUGGGGCUGGAAAGACAGCAAAUCUCCAGGGUUACUGCCAGUUUAAUGAGGGUGUUUUCCUUGGAUCAGGGAAAUGGAGGGUACAAAUCAAACUAGGAUUUUAAAGUUAGUCCUAAUCUUAAUCCUUAUCUCCCAUUUCCUUAUAAAGAGAUGGAAUGAUAUUUGUUCCAUAGUGGUAUUUUCUUUCUUCUAUUCCUUUAUUCUGAUGAGGUCCCGAAUUUGAGCACAUUGUCAAUUUUCACAAACUUUGAAGUCACUGCAAUGUUUUCUAGGAGUAAAGUAUAUACUCAUAUGCUAGAAUUAAAAAUGUAAAUUUAUAUUACUUUUUUGGUGUCUAUUAAGUAUUUUAUUGAAUGAAAAAUUAAUGUAUGUUUUCAAAAAGUAAAAUCUCAUUUAAAUUCUAAAGACCAGAA